rnacentral:rRNA from 1 species
UACGUAGGGGGCAAGCGUUGUCCGGAUUUAUUGGGCGUAAAGAGCGUGUAGGCGGCUAGACAGGUCUGCUGUGAAAACUCGGGGCUCAACCCCGAGCCUGCAGUCGAUACGGGCAGACUAGAGUGCUGUAGGGGAGACUGGAAUUCCUGGUGUAGCGGUGAAAUGCGCAGAUAUCAGGAGGAACACCGGUGGCGAAGGCGGGUCUCUGGGCAGUAACUGACGCUGAGGAGCGAAAGCGUGGGGAGCGAACAGG